GAGCUGUGAUCUGUUCUUC
rnacentral:siRNA from 1 species